rnacentral:rRNA from 1 species
AACAUCUCGAAAGGGAUGCUAAUACCGCAUACGUCCUACGGGAGAAAGCAGGGGAUCUUCGGACCUUGCGCUAAUAGAUGAGCCUAAGUCGGAUUAGCUAGUUGGUGGGGUAAAGGCCUACCAAGGCGACGAUCUGUAUCGGGUCUGAGAGGAUGAUCCGCCACACUGGGACUGAGACACGGCCCAGACUCCUACGGGAGGCAGCAGUGGGGAAUAUUGGACAAUGGGGGGAACCCUGAUCCAGCCAUGCCGCGUGUGUGAAGAAGGCCUUUUGGUUGUAAAGCACUUUAAGCGAGGAGGAGGAGCUCUUGGUUAAUACCCAAGAUGCUUGGACGUUACUCGCAGAAUAAGCACCGGCUAACUCUGUGCCAGCAGCCGCGGUAAUACAGAGGGUGCAAGCGUUAAUCGGAUUUACUGGGCGUAAAGCGCGCGUAGGUGGCCAAUUAAGUCAAAUGUGAAAUCCCCGAGCUUAACUUGGGAAUUGCAUUCGAUACUGGUUGGCUAGAGUAUGGGAGAGGAUGGUAGAAUUCCAGGUGUAGCGGUGAAAUGCGUAGAGAUCUGGAGGAAUACCGAUGGCGAAGGCAGCCAUCUGGCCUAAUACUGACACUGAGGUGCGAAAGCAUGGGGAGCAAACAGGAUUAGAUACCCUGGUAGUCCAUGCCGUAAACGAUGUCUACUAGCCGUUGGGGCCUUUGAGGCUUUAGUGGCGCAGCUAACGCGAUAAGUAGACCGCCUGGGGAGUACGGUCGCAAGACUAAAACUCAAAUGAAUUGACGGGGGCCCGCACAAGCGGUGGAGCAUGUGGUUUAAUUCGAUGCAACGCGAAGAACCUUACCUGGUCUUGACAUAGUAAGAACUUUCCAGAGAUGGAUUGGUGCCUUCGGGAACUUACAUACAGGUGCUGCAUGGCUGUCGUCAGCUCGUGUCGUGAGAUGUUGGGUUAAGUCCCGCAACGAGCGCAACCCUUUUCCUUAUUUGCCAGCGGGUUAAGCCGGGAACUUUAAGGAUACUGCCAGUGACAAACUGGAGGAAGGCGGGGACGACGUCAAGUCAUCAUGGCCCUUACGACCAGGGCUACACACGUGCUACAAUGGUCGGUACAAAGGGUUGCUACCUAGCGAUAGGAUGCUAAUCUCAAAAAGCCGAUCGUAGUCCGGAUUGGAGUCUGCAACUCGACUCCAUGAAGUCGGAAUCGCUAGU